AGCAGUGUAUUCGCACGUCGUUGUCGGCAAGUGGUGUUAGUCGGCUAGGACCUGCGCCGCCAUACACACGCCUCCUGUCCUUCCUCACCAGGUCCCGCGAGGAUGCUCGGCCCAAGACUAGAUAGUGACCCGGAUGUUCCUGGACUGGACGGCUGAAAUACAGUGAAUCGACGGACACAGAAGCUAAAUUGGCACAGGAUGGGACUAUAACAAAACGUUGAGAGCGAAAGAGAGAACGAUGUAAAAGCAACGACGGAAAUCAGAAACCCUUGCAUCGCCAGCCACUGGGAGUCUCAAGUCCGUCGCUAACUCAAGGUGGAGGCAGCGGCGUCCUCCGCACACGACGCCCGCCUCCCAGCGAAGGAACGGAUUACCGGGGCGGCCCAGGGGGCGUCGUUGGCACACCGCUGACCUGAUCUGCCAAAUGUCAGGUCUGGCCACGCGUCAUCGAAGUGAGGACUCCGACAGACAUCCAGCGAGGAGGCCAGCCAGUGAGACCUAUAUCGCAAAAAUGAAGUCAAGGUGAAUCGAACGCCCACACUGAACUGAAGAAUCCGGCAUGUGCAGGCAAUUGAAGCCAAUGAAGCCAACGUGCAGAUCAACGGAUAGACACGACCGUAGAAUCAAACCGGUCUCCAGAACAACCAGGACUGAAAUGAGCGAAAACUAGACGAUUCACGAUUACUAUCCAAUUACCUUUCCAACCCGACGACUGUUCCGUGACGCCCGAGGAAGUCAGGGGUGCGAGAAAAGGAAGGGACGGCAGGUCUGCGGAAGGGAAUAAUGUUUAAACAUGUAUGGAAGGAAAUGUUAAAUAGCUAGUUGCCAGGAAAGCAA